rnacentral:rRNA from 1 species
UACGAAGGGUGCAAGCGUUACUCGGAAUUACUGGGCGUAAAGCGUGCGUAGGUGGUUUGUUAAGUCUGAUGUGAAAGCCCUGGGCUCAACCUGGGAAUUGCAUUGGAUACUGGCAGGCUAGAGUGCGGUAGAGGAUGGCGGAAUUCCCGGUGUAGCAGUGAAAUGCGUAGAGAUCGGGAGGAACAUCUGUGGGGAAGGCGGCCAUCUGGACCAGCACUGACACUGAGGCACGAAAGCGUGGGGAGCAAACAGG